UUUAAAAGCACUUUGAAAAGAGGGUGAAAAGAACCUGAAACCGUUACGUGGAGAGCGUAUUGCAGCAGAGUAAAGGGGGCGCUUUGUUCAGCCCGGUUUAACUACUGGGUGUAUUCUGAGCGUUUUCCGCCAGUCGUGAGCUUCUAGUGGCCGAUUUUGGGCUGCUGGGGGUGGAGGGCUCCCUUUCGAGGUGAGGACGAUCUGGAUAAUACUGCGAUUCGACCCGUCUUGAAACACGGACCAAGGAGUCUAGCGUAUCUGCAAGUCAAAGGGUGGUGAAACCUGAGGGCGCAGUGAAAGCGACUGUAAAACGUUUGCAGUUUGAGGCGGCAUACGAUCGUUGAUUGUAGGUCCGUCCUAGAGCAAAUAUGCUAGGACCCGAAAGAUGGUGAACUAUGCUUGAGUAGGGUGAAGCCAGGAGAAAUUCUGGUGGAAGCUCGUAGCGGUGCUGACGUGCAAAUCGCUCGUCUAACUUGAGUAUAGGGGCGAAAGACUAAUCGAACUAUCUGGUAGCUGGUUUCCUCCGAAGUUUCUCUCAGGAUAGCGGACCGAUAUGUUGUUGUUGUGUGC
rnacentral:rRNA from 1 species